GAAAACCGUUACAUUUCUAUCAGGGGAAUGUGAUCCAAUCAUUUGGGCAGGCAUCGCUCCCCAGCAUUUUCCUUUAUGCUAAACUUCAUUUAUGUAAUCUACAAUUUCCAGCUAACUCUUGAGUACAAAGCUGUUCACUGGAACUAUUUGAUGGGUGUUUAAGAUGGAAACUAAUGGUGAAAGAAAAAGAUAGCAGUUGAAGCUCAAAUCUUUCCUGAACAUUUCUCUUUUGAAGAAUCGACUUUUAAAAACGAUAUGCUGAUUUGGAAGGCCCCAGGAGUGAUUUGCAAAAUUUAUUUUUUCCAUUCAAUCUAUGGAUUUUUUAACCAUUCCUUGGAGUAGAGGAAAUUCAGAGGAGACCUGUGAUGGGAAAAGCGGCAUGCCGGUGUUUUUGUAGCCCCUGUAUCUUGGAUUAAUUUGUUGUUUUACCGAAGAGAUUCCAUUUUG
rnacentral:lncRNA from 1 species